CUGUCACAACGGCUUCCUGGCGUGACAGAGAAACCCCAAUGGAGCA
rnacentral:ncRNA from 1 species